UUUAAACAAUGAAAUAUGUAUUAAUCAUUCAAUAUCAACAUGUAAAUCACUUCGUAUAGGUACGAAACAAUGACCCAAUGAUGAAAAAUUUCAUAAAUGUGGAUGGAAACUUGAGGUGUGAAGUUCCAAUCACAUCUCUCUCACCCAUUAACGUAACAAACUAAAAUACUAACACUGUCUAUAGUUAAAAAAAAUUAUAAAUAAAUGAGUAAGUAGUUCUUGCCCUUCUUUUCUGCCAUUGCUGCAUGCAUACAGUGUAAGAAGCUGCAUUUAUUCUAUAAGCAGCUUGCAAAAGAUGAUGACAGUUUAAAUCUUCAAUUUAAAUCUGUUUUAUAA
rnacentral:lncRNA from 1 species